UACAGAGGGGGCGAGCGUUGUUCGGAAUUACUGGGCGUAAAGGGCGCGUAGGCGGCCCGCUAAGUCGAACGUGAAAUCCCCAGGCUCAACCUGGGAACUGCGUCCGAUACUGGCAGGCUUGAAUCCGGGAGAGGGAUGUGGAAUUCCAGGUGUAGCGGUGAAAUGCGUAGAUAUCUGGAGGAACACCGGUGGCGAAGGCGGCUCUCUAGUACGGUACUGACGCUGAGACGCGAAAGCGUGGGGAGCGAACAGG
rnacentral:rRNA from 1 species